rnacentral:lncRNA from 1 species
UGAAGCAUUACAGACUGCAAAGAAAAUAUGUUCUGAGAAGGGUCCAAAAUUUGAGCGAGAUGUGGAUUCAACGACUGGAUCCAACUUUGACAGUAGAGGGAACAUUAUAUGCAGCUCUAGUGACCAAUCACCUUUAACUGCAUCACCAGAAUCACACACAGUUAACUCGUUUGUUGACUAUGAACCAUUCAUUGGAGAUGGAAAAAUGUCAAUCAGAUAAGAUGCUUUAUGUUAGAGGGGCUGCAUUUGAAGCAUUACAGACUGCAAAGAAAAUAUGUUCUGAAAAGGGUCCAAAAUUUGAGAGAGAUGUGGAUUCAACGACCGUAUCCAACUUUGACAGUAGAGGGAACAUUAUAUGGAGCUCCGGUGACCAAUCACCUUUAACUGCAUCACCAGAAUCACACACAGUUAACUCGUUUGUUGACUAUGAACCAUUCAUUGACUCCCCUCUUUCAAUAAAUCAGGGUAACGAUAGAAG